GGGUGGAAACAUCCCUUUCCGCAAGGACCGCUGCGGAGGUGCUGCAUGGCUGUCGUCAGCUCGUGUCGUGAGAUGUUGGGUUAAGUCCCGCAACGAGCGCAACCCUUAUCGUCAGUUGCCAUCGGGUCAAGCCGGGCACUCUGGCGAAACCGCCUCGGAUAACGGGGAGGAAGGUGGGGAUGACGUCAAGUCCUCAUGGCCUUUAUGUCCAGGGCUACACACGUGCUACAAUGCGCGGUACAAAGCGUCGCAAACCCGCGAGGGGGAGCUAAUCGCAAAAAGCCGUGCUCAGUUCGGAUUGGAGUCUGCAACCCGACUCCAUGAAGCUGGAAUCGCUAGUAAUCGCAGAUCAGAACGCUGCGGUGAAUACGUUCCCGGGCCUUGUACACACCGCCCGUCACAUCACGAGAGUUUGUAACACCCGAAGUCGGUGGGGUAACCUUUUUGGAGCCAGCCGCCUAAGGUGGGACAGAUGAUUGGGGUGAAGUCGUAACAAGGUA
rnacentral:rRNA from 2 species